rnacentral:lncRNA from 1 species
GGAUGUGGUAAUUCAAAGUCCAGUGAAUAUAGAUUUUCCUCCUGAUACCUGAAGUGUGUACACACACACACACACACACACACACACAUACACACACACACACGCAAUUUAACAACUAAGGGAGAUUCAAAGCAGCCCCUCAUUAUCUUGCCUACCACUGCAGCGGUUUCUGCCAACCCUGAUUACAAGUAUCACCAGAUAAAUGGAGCUUAGGUGCUUGCUUACAAGAUGUUUACAAAAAGAGCAACUCCUUGGCAAAGCUUGUCAGCUCCCAAAGUUUUGAGCCAAGGUGACAGCCCUGAAGGAAAUUGCACCCCAGCCCUCCUCCACCAUGCCUGAUGACGUGGGGAAUGUGGCUACCCAGCCAUUUUGGCGACGGGAGAGUCUGAGCCUCCAGUCAGGCCUGAGGGCUCAGCUGCAGAGUCCACGACUAGUGGGAGUGGUGGGGCUGUGGAAAUCCGCUCCUCCUCCUAGAAAAUAUUCUCUUGCCAGUACCUGAAAUUCCACACUCGUGGAAUGGCUUUUCGAUGAGAAAAUCCGUUGGGGGAAGCUUCACAUCUCAUGCAUAUUGCCUAACCCAGCAGUGUUUCUGAAGCCCCAGCCCAUCCCAAAAGCUCUAAGGCCUACACAGUCCUGUCCUCUGGGGGCCUGCCUAGUAAAACAGUGGCAUUUGGACCUGAGAAUACUCUAGAAACAGCAGAACAAGUGCCAGAGCAGAAAAAAUAAAAAUUAAGAUACUUGCAGGUAUACUGGUAUUAAAAAAAAAAAAUGCCACGUAGUCUUUCUGAGCUUGAUAUGACCUUGAGGGUACAGUAGAUUUAUACUUAAUGGGACUUAAGCCUGACUAGUCUUUCCACAGGGAUAGGCCACACUGCAUGGGUGGAGAGGACGAGUGGAUCCAUUGUCCUCUGCCUGUGAUCCUGUGCACACAAUCACAUUCCCUCCCAAGCCAUCUUCCCUUUCACCCUUUACAUUAAACAAGGGAACACUCAAUCUUUCAAGAGAAUUACACGUUUGAGUUAAUGUUUCAGUAUAUCAUUUUCAUACUGUAAAUUAUUUUGUAAGAGAGAUUUACCGCUAUCCCAGGAUGUUUGGACUCAGCGCCCCUGUGCAUUUGGAAAUCAAUAAACUAUUACUGGAAAUACCAUUUGUCUCUCCGAGUUGGGCACAAAGGGCCCUGCUAGGUGUAAAUAUUCAUGAUGGUCUGCAUUCUUAACUGUGACAAUCCUGGAGAUGAUGGUGUUUGGGUUAUGAGAGAGGAACACUCAUUCGCCCCGGACUUCUGAGUAGCUUAGGAGGUUUCUGGAAAGUGGCAAAAGGACAGACUUAAAGUCAUUGUUAUUUAAAGAGGUGUUUUCUCCUCAAAGUGAAAUGAUCCAUGCCUGGGUUAAAUUUUCUGAGCAAAGUAGAUUAUAGCCUUAAGAAUGCUCGGUCCUAAAUGAUGUUUUCAAUGAAAUAACAUAAAAGUUUUGCAAUUUGGAUUAACCAGAGGGGCGGUCAAAUUUUAAUUUUUACUGUCUUUUCUAGAAAAAAAAAAUCUUCAUAGAGCAGAUUACAGUUAGGCCAGGAAAAUCAUCUUUGAAGAACCUUAGAAGUACGCACUUGAUGAAGAGAUGAAGAGAAGUACGCACUUGAUGAAGAGAUAGAAUUAAGUUACAAAUGAAGCAAUUCUAGUCCAGUUUGUAAUAUUAGGAGCAGAGGAUACAUUGAAACCCAGAGGCAAAAUGUGAAAACUCAAGAUCGUAGAUACUGUAUGAAUUAGAAAGUACAAGUCAUACCUAAUGGCAUUAAAAUUCAAUUUUUAAAAACAUCAUUAAAACCCACCAGCAGGAUGUCUGGAGAAGCUGCAGUUUAUGAACCUUGCUCUAAAAAAUUUUUAACACGUUUGUCUCCAUCAAACUCCUUUAGUUAGUUGGGGACUGUGUGAAGUUUAGAGAAAUUAGUCAAGAUAGGGUGCUGGAGCAAGUCAGUCACUCAGGGUCACCCAGUGAGCCAUGCUGAGACAGCCGGGCCAGCAGACUUUCUGUCUCCUGUAGAAAUCAUUAGGUCCUACUUCCUCCCUCCCCAGUUGCUGAGGACACUUCUGCCUGGUGGGAUGGGAUUGCCAAGCACUGUAGUACUGGGGAGGCUCAGUGUUUUAAUGAACCACAAUGUGUUUGGAGGUUCUCUUCUCUACUUCCUGGUGCCAAUAUCUCAGUACCACAUCCCAUUGCCCCAGCCCUUUCUCAUUUUAUUGUCUUUCCCUUUGAAAGCUACAACUCUUGAUUUUGUUUCAUUGAUCUUUGCUUGGUCCAACUUACAGGUGGCUCCAUUUCCUUUAUACUCAUAAAAGUGUGAAAUUGCAGCUGGUCUGGAGGAUCUCCUGGCCUUAAGAGGGCAUCAGAGGUAGGUACACUGCGUAGAAAGUCAGGCUGCCAGUCUUAGUAAGUGAAGAAGGUGUCACAAAAAACAAAAUGAAAGGCUGCUUGAAGUCAAUAACUGGCUGGGCUGAGUAUCUGUCCUUGUUACAUAGUGCAGUGUUCAGGCUAAAUCAUUCAUUGUUAUUUAUAAUAAUAGCUACCAUUUAGUGAGUUCUUUUCUGGGCCAGACACUGUCGCAGUUGCUUUUUACUUUAUCUUAUUUACUUCUUAACAGCACUGAUUUUAUUAGUGCAUUCUCUGUUUUAUUGCUUAGGAAUCAGAGAGUUAAAUACUAUGCCCAAGGUCACACCCUAAUAAAUGAGAAGCUAGGAUUUAAAAAAUACCCAGGUCUGGCAGACUUUACACCUCUGCUCUCAACCUCUCCUCUCCAGCUCUACUGAUUCCACUUUGUACUGGUGAAUAAUAUCCCCUACCCAUCCCCUCCCCACAAACACAUAUGGUAUGGCCUUGGGACAAAAGAAUUUGCCUUUUUUAGACCUCAUUUUGUAUAGUUUGCAAAGUGCAGUGUAUAGUGAGGGAAGGAGGACUGAGGACAGCAGUGAAAUCCUCUUUUGACCUGAAACUUCACUUUUGGAAGGAGAAGACUAUUAGAUUGCUUUAUCUCCUUUAUUCCAAGGCCGUAAAUAAUGAAAUCACCAGGAGAGGCAAAACCAUGGCUUCUUUUGCCAUAGUCUUAGAAUCUCAAAAGUCGGCCAACUCUAGCACUGAGUCUAUAAUUUAAUUAAACAUCUUGAAGGCAGCUUGACAUUAGGCCAGCUUCAUAUUCUUGGAAAGGGACUGCAAAAAGAGUUCGUCUGUUUUUAUAGUUCAUUUACUGAGUUGAGCCAUCAUGGCCACGGCAUACCAUUUGCCUUACAAAAAUGGCCUACAACCUUCACACAAUUUUAGGGAGUCUGUUGCAACUAACUCAUUUAACUAGAGCUCAGCCAUCUGUCAGCUUCACCUAUCCCUAUUUCUUAAACAUGAAAUCUACACAGAUGGUUUGACGAUUAGUAAUUGAGGCAGAACUGGAAAAAUCUGAAACCUUUGCUGAGGCUGUUCAAAAAUGACUGAGUUCCCUGGUGGCCUAGUGGAUUAAAGAUCUGUCGUCACUGCUGUGGUUCAGGUUGCUGCUGUGGCACGGGUUCAGUCCCUGGCUCAGGAACUUCUUCAUGCCAUGGGUAUAU